AAGCUCGUAGUUGAAUUUCGGGAUCAAAUUGUCGGUCGUGCCUCGGUACGUACUGGCGUUAUUGGUUCCUCCCUUCUGAAGAACCACGAUGUCAUUAAUUUGGUGUCGCGGGGAAUCAGGACUGUUACUUUGUAAAAAUUAGAGUGUUUAAGGCAGGCUCGCGCUUGAAUACAUUAGCAUGGAAUAAUGAAGUAGGACGUUUGAUUCUAUUUUGUUGGUUUCUAGGAUCGACGUAAUGAUUAAUAGGGAUAGUUGGGGGCAUUAGUAUUCAAUUGUCAGAGGUGAAAUUCUUGGAUUUAUUGAAGACUAACUACUGCGAAAGCAUUUGCCAAGGAUGUUUUCAUUAAUCAAGAACGAAAGUUAGGGGAUCGAAGACGAUCAGAUACCGUCGUAGUCUUAACCAUAAACUAUGCCGACUAGGGAUCGGAUGAUGUUAAUUUUUUAAUGACUCAUUCGGCGCCUUACGGGAAACCAAAGUGUUUGGGUUCCGGGGGGAGUAUGGUCGCAAGGCUGAAACUUAAAGGAAUUGACGGAAGGGCACCACCAGGGGUGGAGCCUGCGGCUUAAUUUGACUCAACACGGGGAAACUCACCAGGUCCAGACAUAGUAAGGAUUGACAGAUUGAGAGCUCUUUCUUGAUUCUAUGGGUG
rnacentral:rRNA from 1 species